CUCAAACACCUCAAAGGUUCCGUUGGCUUCUAUUAAUCCUGUUUUUGGUUCUUUCCACAGAAUCUCCAUUGGAUUCAAGGUGAUUGGCCGGAAGAUUCUAGCAGCUGAGCGUCUCCUCGGCGGCGUGUUCGGGGUCACAGGUCCGGUGUUUUUGGGGGGGAUGUGCAGCACCAUCGGACCUCCACACGUGUUGUCUUUGUGAAGCUCGUCUUCUCUUCCCUCGUCUGUCAGCGAUGACCUGCUUUCCACUUCCUGAUUGCUCUGAGGUGUGAAUUUCAUCAGAAGACCAAGAACUCGCACAGGAAGGACACACAAGCAGACUGAGAGACGGACGAUGCACCGCCUGCCUGCAAAGACGGACAGAGCGGUUUUACUAUAUUACAUUAUAGGUCAGGUCGGUUUCACUGUAACCAAAGCGACUCGUGGUGACUUGCCUUGAGUGAACCGUCGACUUGGAAAGUCCCAAAUGAAGCCUGUCUAAGUGUGCGUAGACGGUGUGCGUGUGUGUGUGUGCGUGUAAAAUAGUUCUCUGAUGUUUCCCAGAGGGGACAAACAAGUUUAAUGUUUAAAAGUCGUCAGAUCGUGAAAGAAAGAAACUUUGGCGCAACGUUGAAAAACUGUUUUGUAGAAUAAAAUAAAAACGAAUGAACCAUUAAAA